UCUUCUGGAGGUCUUCUUCUCCUGCUGGGACUCCUCACCCUCUGGGCGGAGCUGACCCCCGUCUCCAGCCUGGACCGUCCAAAGUUUUGGUGAACUG